AUCCUCACUUUGAUUAGACAGCUUCUCCUCAGCCAGGCCUUUUAAAACAAAAUGUUUUUUUUAAUAUAUUUUCCCAGAAUUGAGUAAAUAGUUCCCGUUCUCGGAUUAAGCAGCCAUCUGCUGACAUGGUCAGAAGCAUUGGCAAAAACUGACAGAAAUCCAGGCCUGCUCUGGAUUUAACAGUGUUGUGCUGACCUGAACCUCCCUCACAUCGAAAGUCAAUCACUUCAAAAUCUCAUUUUGUUCUUUUUUGUGGAAACAGCAUUUCGAUUUCCUUUUACCCAUCUCUAGAAUCUGACAUAGAGUGAGAAUCACAGAACUCUACAUCACGGAAACAGGCCCUUUGGCCCACCAUGUCCAUGGCGAUCAGAAAAACCCAUCUAACUAUUCUAAUUCUAUUUUCCAAUGCGGGUGGAACCUAUUCAGUCCGUUGAAGCUGUGCCAGUUCAUUGAAAUUAUUGCCAAUUAGUCCUGCUCCCUUGCUCUUUCCUUUUAUCCUGUCAUUUUCUCACCUUUAUAUUCUCCUUUUGAAAGUCACUAUUGACUCCAUGUGCACUCUCUUUUAGACAGUGCCUACCAAAUCGUAACAGCUAACUGUGUAAGAUUUCUUCUCAUCGCAUCUCCUGUUGCCCAUUCUUUUACAUCUCUGUUCUCUGAUUACGAACCUUUAUGUCACUGGAAACAGUUUUUCUUUAUCUCUUGCACAAUGCUGAUCAUCUGUAUUAGUUCUCCCAAUAGCCUUCUCUUCUCUAAAGAGAAUAAUCCCCUGUUUCUCCAGUCUCAUAGGAACUUUGGAAUUCGGAGCUGGAGUAAACCUUGCUGAUCGCCCUUUCUCACUGGUUUCAUUUAUUUUAGGAAAUUAAGCUGAUAAGAGAAAAAAAAUUUGCGGUACAGACAGAAUUUGCAUACUGCAGAAAACUGUGGUGAAGUGUCCAAGAAAGGAAGAUUGAAUUGCCCAGACUCUACUGCUGAGAAAAACCAGGAAACAGGUAAAAGACGCCUUUCUCUGAGCCAGCAGGCCAGUCAGAAGGAAAAGGGACAAGAAGGACUCUCCUGUUCUGAAUGCUACCAGCCAUCUGCCAUCAAGAGGAAACUGAUCACAUUGAUUUCAACUAUCUGUAAAAGCCAAGAACCUGAAAAGUCAAGUAUUUAUUAAUAAAUGUUCCACUAUCUCCUCUUCACACAUGACCCAUAGAAUCUGAUCCAUAAAUAUUUUAACUUUGA